UUAAUAAAUACUGACAACUCCCCUCUAAGAAUGAUAUACACAAGCAAAGGAACCAAUAUGAAGGAUUAUUCAAGCUUCUCUGGGUUGUCCAGAUUUCCUUGCCCAUCUCACUCUACAGCUUUCAAUUCAAUGUUGCAUGCCCAUAUCUAGCUGGUUUCAGGUGAAGGGCUUUCUGGCUUCCCAAACUUCCUAUAAGAUGUGCCCUAUAGAAAGUAGGUCAGCUGUUCCUUCUUCCUUGAGCCGCCUUCUCCAUACAAUUCAUUCCACUGCUUCAGCUUGUUCAUUGCCGCUCCAUCAGAAGCAAAACUAGCAGCAACCUGAUUCUUUGCCUGCCUCAUGUCUUCCAUGUUUAAGGGUCUCAGAACAAUUACCCUUUCCCCUUUGGCUUCUUCUCUGGUAUCCGAAGCAUCCUCUGAGCUUUUUCCUUCAUCAGCUUUCUGCUUCUUUUUCUGUGAAAAGAAAAAUCAGAAAAAACACCAUUGAUCUACUGUGGAAAACUUGUUGGAAAAAGCGAGAAGGAAGAAAACGAUACUUGGAAGAGUUAAGAGAGUUCUUACUUUAUCCUUCUUCAUUCUCUCUUGUUGUGCUAGCUCCCUUACAGGACGAUAAGCUGCUGCCAUGCACAAGUUCUGUUUCAAUUGUUAAUCCCAAGAGUCAACACAGCUGAUUCUUAAUCAAUUCAUCAUUGCCAUCAGAAGUACAAACCUUAAGAUCACUUCCAGUAUAACCUUCUGUCAUGGUUGCAAGCUCCUUAAAGUCAAGAUCCUCGGCUUGUUCUUUAGCCAAGAGAGUCUUCAGGAUCAUCUCUCUGCUCUCCACAGAUGGUAGACCAACCAUAAUUCUGUUCAUCACAGAUACCAUUAGUUUGCCUACUCAAAGCAUGGUGACACAUUCAUCUAUCUUUAAUAUAUCCUUCUCCAUAGCUUCAGAGUAAAACGAUGAAAAUGAUGCUGAGUGUAACACAAUAUGCAAAUCUACCUGUGGUCAAACCGCCUGAUAAUCGCCUCAUCAAGGUCAAAUGGCCUGUUGGUUGCAGCAAGAACGAGGACUCGUUCACCAGCUUUUGUCAGUAGUCCAUCCCAAUGUGUCAUGAAUUCAUUCUUAAUCUUUCGCAUACUACAAUCCUCUCCAAAUUCAAGUCGCUGCCCAAGCAUGCUAUCAACCUCAUCCACAAAAAUAAUAGUUGGGGAGAUCUUUGCCGCAAGUGUGAACAGAGCUCGAACAUUCUUCUCAUCUUCACCAAACCAUUUUGAAGUGAUGGUGGACAUUGAGACAUUGAUGAAGCUUGCUCCAGCUUCAUUGGCCAUAGCCUUUGCCAGCAUCGUUUUUCCAGUACCAGGAGGCCCGAAGAGUAGUAUCCCCCUGCAAGGCUUAAGAAGCCCACCCUUGAAGAUCUCUGGUCUUUGAAGAGGGAACAUGACCAACUCCUCCAGUGAUUCUUUAAUGUCAUCCAAGGCACCGAUGUCAUCAAAUGUCACUCCUAUCCGAUUUGGUGGGAUAACCUCUGGCCUUAUACGACUCUCAAAUUCAUUGCAACGUGGAAAUACCUACAGGGAAACAAUAAGAACCACAGCAAUUAGAAGAGUAAGGUCAUGUUUGGUUCCAGAAAAUACUAAAGGAAUAAAAAAAAAUGCUAAAAAAAAUUAUUUUCUCAUGUUUGGUUUAAUUUUAGAAAUAUGAAAGAAAAUCAAAUAUAAUUAAAAUUAGUACAAAAUUUAUAUAUUUUUAAAUUAUUUAAUCUUUAUAUAAAAGAACUAAAUAAGUUAAAUGACUUUGAAGCAAGAUAUGAAAAUAAUUUACUGACUUUAAAUUUAUUUUUUAUUUUUCUUCACUUUUUCUUUCCUUUACUUUUCCUCUCUAUUUUUGUUCCCUCACAUUUUCACUCAAACUUUCCAAAAACCAAACACAGCCUUAGGGAAUUGGAAAAUUUUCUUGGUAAAAUUUUCUUUCACCAAAAAGGAAAAACAAAUGCAAGGGAACCUCUUUACAGUAUGCAACAGAGAAAUCUAAAAAAUUGGCAUCAUCUUCUGUUUAACUUUGUUGUUAAACUUUCAGAACAGAGUGACAGACUAAGAAUCUCAAUUGCAUUAAAAUUCAAAGCAUCCACCCACAAGAUUCAAUAGAAAACAGAAGCACACCAAUAAGCACAUUGUUGCUGUUAAGGGUCAAUAUCAUUCACACUAUGCUCAGAUUGUUGAAUGGUAGAAUGUUGAGAUGUAGAACGAACCUUAGAUUCAGCAUUUGGUGCGUCUUCCUGGAAUAAACUCAAUCCAUGAGACAAACUGUACCAGGGCCACAAGAAUAUUUAUAUGGAACUUUGUUUCAAAUAAAAAUAAAUAAAUAAGCAAAGAAGACACAAGCAUAGAAACAAUUGUAUCUACCUCUUAGAAGAUAUGACAAGCUUUCCGUUUCGGUAUUCUGGAUCUUUGUUAUUCAACAAAUGAUAAGAUAUUGCAGAUAUUACAAUCUCUUCUGUGUAAUCACUUAGAAUUUCAGGGUCUGCAUAGCAGAUUGAACCCAAAUCAUCACAGUCAAGAUCAUUUGCUGCAAGCACCUUAGCCAUAUAAUUUUUGUUGUCCUGAAACUGGAUCACCUUUGUCUCCUCUUUCAGUUGGGCUUCCCAUCUAUCAAGAUGAGUCUCAUCCUCAGGUUUCUCGAUUUCAAUAUUGCAAGGGAAUAAAAGACUCACCCUUUCAUCCAUUUCAUUAUCCUCAUCAUCAGGGUCUAACAUGCGGGAACCAAGUAUCAGAACUGAUCCCGAUAAUUUGUCCAACAUUUUCCGGAACAAUUUGUAAAAUCUAUCUGAUUGCAGAAGAAGCUUGUCAACAUCCCUGAUGUAUAAAAUCAUGGAACAUGUUUCCGAUACUGAAACCAAGACCUGUUAGUAAUAUAACACAUCUGCCUGUCAGUAACUAAAAUAAGCAAUAUUUGUCACUCUCAAUCAUGAUAAAGCAUCAUCAGAACGAGAUCAUACAUGAAUCUGAUAAGACUAUCAGAUUUAGAACAGAAAACUUAUUCUUAGAUUACCUUGUAAAGCGACUGCAAAAGAUGUUUCUCAUCAAAAGCCCAGCUGCUUGUGCACUUGAUAUGAGCUACAAAAGAAAUGAGCAGCAGUAAGACUAACAUCUAGUUCCAGUAAUUUUUUUAAACAAACAGACUUAAAACUAUAAAUACACAACAGAAAAAAAUAAAGAAAUAAACUGUAUGAAAUGUAAAACAGACGACAUUCAAAGGAGUAAGAGGGACAAAAUAAAUUUUCCUGGAACAAAAGUUCAUAGCAUUGGAUGUGCUGUACCUAGGACAAAUCAUAUUCAUUUAUUUGGUGAAAAAUAAUGUAUAUAAUGGAUGCUCAAUAGUUGGGAUUGGAUAUGUUCAUGAGGUUGAGGUGGUUCAGGGAUAAUCUCCCUGAUAGGAUCCAUCCAAUGUGGAAUUCUUAUAGAUCUGUGUCAUUGAAUGACAGUGAUGCAGAUGAAACCAAGAGUAUUCCAAUUUAGUUCUAAGACCUAACCUGAACUUGUAGUAGUACAUUGGGAGGAAUGGUGCUCGCAUUAGAUGAAGUAGAAGCACUACCACAAUGUUGUGGAGGAUCCAUACUUCUGCAAAUGCAUAUAGCUACAGGUUUAGAAAUGAUACAUGGAACUCAAUACCUAAAUAGAUGACCAUUGAAUCCCAAUUAUUUAGGGGCCGGCAGAAUUAAGAGUGUAAGUGGUCUACCAUACUUUGACUUAAUAUUGGCACCAGUGCUUUGCCUAGAUAAUGUGUCUGUAUUAGAAGUUGGGAUCAAAGCUAAGUUGUGGAGAAAUUAGAAUCGACAAGAAGUAAAAAGAACAAGACAGCAAAGGAAAUCAAAAGGCAUGAGUUGAAGUUCAUUAAAAGAAUGUAAUGUGUGGUUCAAAUAAAAAGGUGUAGUAUAUCAAGACUAAUGAUCAGUGCUAACUACAAAAGCAUCUUUAAAACCAUAGUUAUUCCUCCUCUGUCUAUUAUGAGUUAUAUGGACAUUGUUAGGACUUUAGCUUAAGCGUAAGUUGGCAUAACAUACAUAGUUGUACCACUUUAACUGAGCUUGUAUCAAAAUUAGAGUUUUAAAUAUUAGGAGCUGCAAUUCUAUUAAUACCUUUGGUUUCUUCUCUUUGGGGAAGGAUUGAGAAAGAGCCAAGAAACCCAGAGAUUUGCUUCAAUGUCGUCUCUGGGAUGGACUUCUUGGAAGACUACAAAAAGAAGCUACCCGUUCAGGAAAUACUCCACUUAGAAAACGCAGGGCAAGUUAAACAUGAAGUGCUGAAAUGAAUAAUAUUUAGUUCACAACAAAGAAUGAUGAUUGCAAUGUUUCAUGGUUAACCUUGAUCAACCCUACUAAAUCAGAAUGCAAGGAUUCAUGGAUGGAAAGGCACUUUCAUUUUCAGCAAACAAAGAAAUGCAUUUUCAUCAUCAGAAUAAUUCAGCGAAGGCUUACAUAUUCUUUUCUGGGACAACCAUAUUUGCUCUGCAUCUGAGAAAUGCCAAUCAUAGUGAGAUUUAGUGAUGUAGUAUCAAAAGCUAAAUUUGAGGAAGAUUGAGUUAGUGCAUAUUUCACCUUUAGAGAAAAGUCAUUAACAUCCAACAGCAGCAACUUUGCUUCAAAGAAUUGUGCUAAAGCUUUGGCGAGUGCUCGCUGAUAAAGUUCUUCAGAAGAUAAACAAGAAUAAAAAUGAAGCAAAAGGCAACCAAAUUGGGCCAAUUAAAAGGACUAAGAAACAUAAAUAUCCAUAUCAGAUCACAUAUUCCAGACAACAUACCAGCAGGUCCUGAGAGCAAAAUAGCCCUGCCUGCAGGCAUAAGUUUCUGGGUGUGCUUAGAAAAGUCAGAGAGCCUUAGAUGAACAUGUGCAGCACUUGUCAGUAAUCCUCGUGUCUGCUUACUGUUGUAGCCAUUGAUAGAAAGGAACAACAUUAAAAUAAAUAUAAAAAGAGAUCACAUUGUAAUGAAUAUGCUUAGAAUUAUAGUGUCUAUGUAAACUAGAACAAUAUGAGAGUGCUCUAUAGCUACUUCAGAAUAUGCACCAUCAACAUUUAUUUUGUGUUUCAAAAUAACAGUGAUCUUAUGCCAUUUAACAAGAAAACUCAAAUCACCCCAAAUUGCAUCCUAGUCUGAACUUUUUCGUUAGGUAAGGGACCUUCAGACAAAGUCUUAAACAUAUGUACCUCAACAAAGGGACCCUUAAUCCCCAAAUAACUACUCUUCUCUUUAAUCCAUUAAAUCUAAAUAAUGAAGCUCAGUACCCAAACUGAAAAAUCACAGUUUGAUUGCAGAGGCAAAUGCAAUAGCUAAUUGGUGAGAAGGAAAAUCAAACAGAAAAUUUCCAUAUUCACUAUACAAUUGAGUGACACAAACCAGCAAUAUGAAACAAACAAAAAAAAAAAAAAAAAAAAAAAAAAAAAAAACAAAAAAACAAAAAAACAAAAACAAAACAAAAAGAAAUAUAAAUAUGGGGGAAAAAAAUGAAACCCCCAUCAAUUAGAAUCCCCAAAAGAAGAUUAUUAAAGGAAUUUCAAAAGGGUAUAGAAGAACCAGUACUGUGAUAGCAGUACAUAGUGACAGAAGCAGCAUAUGCAGCAUACAAUUUUCUCUAAUACAACCUUUCAUAUAGACGUAAGAACAAACAAUACAUAUGCAAGUAAUGAAUCAUUACCUGAGGAUAUAAGGAAACUCCUCAAAUGUGAUCUUGCUUUCCUUUCCAUCCACAACCUGUCCCCGUAGCUCAUGCUCAAGCUGCGCUUCUGUAAUUGCGCCCGCCGAGCAGUUCAGCAGCCCGGUCCAUCGGCUCAUUGUCUGUCCAGAGGCCAAAGUAAGGCCAACCGAAACACCGAUCCCGAGGCUCAGAGCAGACAGCAAGAUUUGCUUCUGUUCCAUUACUUCAGGCCUUCCCCAACCUCAAAUUCUCUCCCAAAAAAGACUAUACCCUCCUCUAUCCAACCUUAGCAGACAAAACAAACAGAAAACAAAGCUCAAUUCUAAGAAGCAAUUAAACAAACAACACUUGUUUCUACUCUUUCCCACUAAUCACACUUCUUCAAUACUCAAUCCACAUGGAAAAUACCAGAGGAAAAAAAAAAAAAAACAAUUCAAACCCAUCACCCAAAUUCCUCUUUAUAAUAAUAAAAAAAAAUGAUUGUUCUGUGGAAAACUUCAACCUCACCACAUCUGUGUUCACACCAGAUAAAUGGCAUGGUAGUACCACUCAACACACCCACGUGAGAAACAGGAACCCAGAGGGUUUCACACCAAGAUAAAAUGGAAUCAAUGAUGAUUGAAACAAAACAAAAGACCACCAAAAUGUACGUUGGAGAAAAAACUUCACUCUAGGACAGGGUAAUACUAUGAGCAGUGUUGAUGGCAGAAUAUGUUUGAAAAUCCAGAGAAAUUUUUGGCAGAGACUGAGAAGUACUUUUGGGAUUGGAAUUUUCAGCCUACCCUUCCAGUAUGGUAGAGGUUUGAACACAGGAAUGCAUGAAUCUCUGAUUGGCACGCCAUUGGUGUACCAGUUUGGACAGGUGUGUAACUAGGGAAUGGUUUUCCUUCUUUUUUUAUAAUUUUAUUAUAUAUAUAUAUAUAUAUAUAUAUAUAUAUUUUAAUAGGUGUCAUAUUAUGUUUGGGCUGACUUGUGGUGGGUUGCCGUUGACGCCGAAGUCGAUCGAGUCCAUUGCUUUGGCCUUUUUUGCUUUAUUGGUUAUUAAUUAUUAUAAUAGUAUUAUUAUAGAGCAGGUAUAGGGCUAAAGUUAUGCACAUGGUCAAGGUUUGAAAUUCCGGAAAAUUUCGUCAAAAUAUCGGAUAUUGGUCAAUCCCGAAGCGAAAUAUCGGUCAAAUUAUAAAAUUGGGGUGGUUUUUAAAAUUCUGAAUUGGGCUUCCAUGGACCGGCCCAAAGGAUGGCCUCCAUGCGCACUCACCACAGCCCAGCCCGGUAGGCAUUGAACCCUUGAUUCCACGCAUGAAAUGAAAGGCCCCACCAUUAAGCCAACCUUGCUUAGGGUGUACGCAUCACGAACCACCGUUAUAUCUAAGAUUUAUAAAUGUAAUUAUAUUAUAAAUUAAUUAGAAUAAAAUUAUUGUAAAUAAAUUAUUUCAAAUAUAAUGUAUUUUAUAUAAUAAUUAAAUUCAAAAUAAAUAUAAUUCUAUAAAUAAAAUUAUCAAUGUUUUAAAAUAAAAAAUAACUAUACAUAUAUUAUCAUUUAUUUUAUGUCAUUGAAUACAUCUUAUAAAUGUACAUUUAAAUUUUUGAAUAUUAUUAUUGGUUAUCAUAAAUUAUAUCUUACAUAUAUUAUUUAUUUUUAAUAAAACAACUUUAAAAUUGUUGGGUUUUAAGGGUAUAGAAACAAAUGACUAGCCCAAAAAGACACAAACAAAUAACAAAAUUAAUAAGAAUAAAAAUUUAUCGACUGAGAUAUAACAAACACUAUCCUUAAAAUAGAUCUACCCUCUUCGAAUACGAACUUGGUGCACUAGGGUACCAAUGGUCUACCUCUAAGAUUCAACAGUCAAAUCUUGUAUUGGGUGCACUUUGUAAGCUUGGUUCUCAAAAAAAUUUUCCAAAUAGAUGUAUGAAAAACUCUCUAAAAAAUUCUCUGAAAAUUUUCUAUUCAUAUAUAAAGAGUGAGGGGUAACCUGCUUUUAUAGGCCACUAACACAAUCUUAAUGAAAAUCUACUUGUAAUCAAAACAAGACUCAAAGUGGAAGGGGAUUCUACUUCUAAAAAGAAUAAGACUCCACUAAAAAUAAUUCCCAAAAGGACUCUUCCCAAAAAUAUAAAACUAAUAGAAUAAAAUAAAAUAAAAAUAAAAAUUAUUUACACUCUUCCUACAAUCCUCCACAGAGUGUAAACGUAAUUUUUUAUUUUUUAUUUUUGAGGAAAAAAAAUUCCAAUGCAUCAAUAUUGGUAUCCAAAGGAUAUGAACCAAUCUUAAGACAAAUAAGUAUUGAGUCACAAAACACAGUGAAAAUAAAUUUCUAUAUAACCAGUGUUUCUUGAUGUAACUCAAGGGACUUUUAUCCACAUUAGUUUUCUCAACUACACUACGAGUUAUAUACAAAACGGGUUGGCACAAAUAGGUCAUGCACCUUGCCUGGAUAUUCAUGAGAGCUCUAGAGAACCUACCUAAGUUCUCAUUGGAAGCGACCCCACCUCCAUUCUCAUAUAGGUGAAUCCAUUAAGUAUGUUCUGCAUUUAAACAUACCAUCCAUAAGGAAUAUGGUAUUCAUUAAGAGUAAACACUCAACCUUAAUCAAUGCAGAAUACGCUCUAUCUACACCAUAAGGAUAAACUCUCAUACAAUUAGAGUUGAUAGAGCACAUCAAGUCAACAAGUGAUUUGUUAAUACCCAUAUGAACCUACUUCAUGGAAUUUCCAUUAUAAUAGGUUGGGUUACAACCACUCUUGACUUCUGUAAUAGGCAUAAGCCACAUCCCCCUCGAUGUUUCUUCCACUAGUUUCUUAUUUAGUGGUUUGGUCAAAUGAUCGACCAAAUUCAACUAUGACCUCACAAAUUCUAGGGAUAUAACCCUUGUUUCAAGCAACUACUGCACAAUAUUGUACCUUAGGCGUAUAUACAUGUUCUUCCCAUUAGAUAUUUUACUCUUAGCCUUAACAAUUGCAGCUUGGCUAUCACAACGCAUAGACACAGACGGAGCUGGUCUCGUCCAUCAAGGGAUAUCUACUAAGAGGUUUCUAAGCCACUCAACCUCAGAACUUGUCUUUUCUAAGGCAAUAAACUCAGCCUCCAUGGCAGACUAAGUAAUGCAAGUUUGCUUGACAGACUUCCAAGAAACUGCACUUCCACCAAGGAUAAAAACAUAUCCAUUAGCGGAUUUCAUCUCAGCUGAAUCCGAGAUCCAAUUUGCAUCUCUAAAUCCUUCAAGGACACUUCGAAAUCCACUAAAGCACAAACCAUAGUUAAUGGUGCCUCUCAAAUACUUAAGAACUUUAUGAACAACAGUCUAAUAGUUCUAAUUAGGAUUUUGGGUGUACCGACUCAAUGUACCUAUUGCAUAAGCAAUGUCAGGUUUGGUACAGUUCAUUAAGUACAUUAGGCUCCUUAUGAUUCGAGCAUACUCUAUUUAAGCAAUACUAUGUUCUAUAUUUUUCUUCAACUGUAAGCUAGGAUCAUAAGGAGUUGACACUGGUUUACAAUCAAAGUGUUCAAGCUUUCUUAGGAUCGAUAUUUUCAACAUAGUGCUCUUGAGAAAGUUUAAGCUCAUUAGGUGUUCUAGUUAUUUUAAUUCCUAGAAUCACCUCUGCCUCUCCUAGGUCUUUCAUAUCAAACUUAGAACCUAGGAAUUUCUUGGUCUCACACACAACCUUUAGGCUAGUUCCAAAUAUCAACAUCUCAUCAACAUAAAGGCAAAUGACUACACAUGUGUUAUUCUCAUACUUGCUAUAGAUACACUUGCCAGCAUCAUUAAUGGAAUAUCCAUUAGUUACUAACACAUGAUCAAACUUGUUGUGCCAAUAUUUGGGAGCUUGUUUUAACCCUUCCACAACUCAUAAGGAGUUUUACCAGUUUUUUUUGUAAGGUACUCUAUUUUAAAUAUGACAUGCGGAUAGGAUAGCCUCCCCCCCCCCCCCCCCCACAAGUUCAAGGGUGCUCUUAAACUUACCAACAUUGUAGAGAAAACCCUUUCCUACCAUCUCUUAAAGAAUGUCCCAUUAAAGGAAUCAAUUUUAGAGGUGUCAAGACGGGUGUGAACUAAGAAAGCUUCCAUUUGGAUAUAUUUUAAAAUUGUUGGGUUUUAAGGGUAUGGAAACAAAUUACUUGCCCCAAAGAUACAAACAAAUAACAGAAUUAAUAAGAAGAAAAACUUUUCGGCUGAGGCGUGACAAACACUGUCCUUUAAAAAAAAUCCCCCCCCUCCAAGACGAAAUUGAUGCACUAAGGGACCAAUGGGCUACCCCCCGGAAUCAAUAAAUCAAAACUCCGAUUGGGGGCACUCUAAAAAGCUCAUUUCUCAAAAAAAUUNNNNNNNNNNNNNNNNNNNNNNNNNNNNNNNNNNNNNNNNNNNNNNNNNNNNNNNNNNNNNNNNNNNNNNNNNNNNNNNNNNNNNNNNNNNNNNNNNNNNGGUAUGGAAACAAAUUACUUGCCCAAAAGAUACAAACAAAUUACAGAAUUAAUAAGAAGAAAAACUUAUCGGCUGAGGCGUGACAAACACUGUCCUUUAAAUAGAUUCACCCUCCUCGAAGACGAACUUGAUGCACUAGGGUACCAAUGGUCUACCUCCAGGAUUCAAUAGUCAAAUCUCGUAUUGGGUGCACUCUAUAAGCUCAGUUCUCAAAAAAUUUCUCCAAUUAGAUGUAUGAAAAACUCUCUAAAAAAUUCUUUGAAAAUUUGCUAUUCAUAUAUAAAGAGUGAAGGGUGACCUACUUUUAUAGGCUAUUAACACAGUCCUAAUGAGAAUCUACUUGUAAUCAGAACAAGACUUAAAGUGGAAGGGGAUUUUACUUCUAAAAGGAAUGAGACUCCACUAAAAAUAAUUCCCAAUAAGACUCUUCCCAAAAAUAUAAGACUAAUAGAAUAAAAUUAAAUUAAAUAAAAACAAUUUCUAAUAGGACUCUUCCCAAAAAUAUAAGAUUAAUAGAAUAAAAUAAAAUAAAAAUAAAAAUUAUUUACAUUCUUCCUACAAAAAUAUCUAUUAUUACUUCUUAUAUGAUUUCUUAGAGUUUUUCUUAAUAUUUUCAUGAAUUUUGAUCAAUUUUCAUCUUAUCGUUAUUUUGUGUUAAAAUAUCUACCAAUAUUUUUCAAUAUGCCACCAAUAUUUUUCAAUAUAUCCGUAAAACAUGUUGUCGAUAUAUUCGUAAAAACCUAAUAUUUUCAUCCUUGUAUAUUACCAAAGCACUUAGAAGCAAGAAGAAAUCCCAAAUCCUAAGAUAUUUCAAAUUCUUUCAAUAUUGUUGAUGACGAGUUUGAUAAGGAAGGUGAUGUUUUUUUAAUUAUGGUUGUUAAAAAAUUUGUUGACUCUUGGAUUUUGGAUUCUUGAAGUUCCUUUUACAUGUGCCCAUAUAAGGAGUAGUUUGAUAUCUAUAAGGAAUGUGAUGCUAGUAAUAUUUGAAUGGGCAAUGAUUCAAGCUCCAAAGUCACUAGGAUUGGUUCCAUAAAAGGUGAGGAUGUUUGAUGAUGUUGUGAGGAUAUUGAGUAAUGUCAAGCACGUUUUUAAGUUGAGGAAAAGUUUAAUUUCUUUAGGGGCUUUGCACAAUUUAGGUUAUGAUUUUUAUACAAAGAACAGUAUUAUGAAGAUCAACAAAGGUACUUUGAUAGCUAUGAAAGGGAAAAGGGUGAAAAAAUUUUACGCUUUGAUCAAGAAGACAAUUUUAAGUAGAGCUAUGAAGGUAAAUCCAAGUCAUAAAGAGUCUUUUGCGAGUGUUGAAAGAAAUUGUCAAAUUAGAAGAGCACAACAAGAUGAUCAAAACUUUGUUUUUGUUAAGAGUACUCAUUGACACAAAGACGAGAGUAAUUGUAAAAGGAAUGAAGUUAUAAAGAAGAUCAAGAUGAUUUUUCGAGUCAAGUUUGAUGAGAGUUUAAACUUGACACAUGCUUGUUCUCAUUAAUAAUACAGGAUUGAGAAAAUUUGAGUCAAGUGGAGUAUAUUGGGAUUUGACUCAAAUUUAUUUAUUUUUAACUUUUAGAAAAGUCAAUAUUCAUAGAGUUUGUAUUUUGAUAAAUUACCUUUUUAAGUUUGAUUAGAAUUAGGAAACAAUUGUUUUAAGGUUAACAAGUAAGGUUCUAUAAAUAUUUGGUUUUAUUUCAGAAAUAGUAGAAAAAAUAAUGGGUAAGAAAAGUGUGAAGGGAAAUAGAUAAAAGGACGUAUUGGGCUUUAGGUAGAGAAAGGUUGUGAGAGUUUAAAAUGUGUAAUCUUGAAAGUUAUAAUAAAUUUGAUUUCUCUUUCGCAUGGACAUGAGUGCUUACACUAAACUAUGUAAAUAGUUUGUCUUUUCUAUUUUAUUUUAUUUUUUUCCAUUGUAUUUAAAUGUCGUGAUUUUUCCUAACAAGUGAUAUCAGAUCUUCUAUAUACUCAACAAAUGGCAUCAGAGCUAACACCUAUGAGAGUUCUUGGGCCGUUUUCAAUCGACACUACCUAAACUCAAACUACAGCUCCAAGUGCUAAUCAUCUUGUCUACUAGAUGAACCGGGAACGGAGCCGGCCAAAAGCAAGUCCAUAAAGACUUGAAAUUUUAAGCUAUAAUAAAAGGACUAUCUAUUCACAAACACCCCCCCACCCCUGGGGAACCAAGAUUCAAACCUUCACCCCCUCUCCCAAAUCAACUUUAAGUUAUUUAUCGAUAUCAUACCAGUACUACAAUAUGUUUGUCAUAUCAGAUGAAUAAGCAGUGAAAUAUUGCAGCAAAUGCAAAUCAUUCAAAAUGUGAAAAUCAUUUUGUAGAAUCUAACUACAGCUACUGUACCAUGAAGUUUACACUACCAAUGUACAAAUGCUACUGCAUGAAGAGAGUCCACACAGAAAUAGCCAAACCCAAUAGUAGUUUCUCUCACUUUCUGCAAAUCCAUAGGCAUCUCCAAGUACCACACAUUUACAUAAUAAUCAUUACUAAGAAACACCCAGAAACUGGUAACAGUUUGUUUGUAUGAUGGCCUAAUAAAUACCGAUAUGAAGGAUACACUAAAACACCCCUAUGCAUGCUUUUCUGGGCUGUCCAGAUUUCUUUGCCCAUCUCACUCUACAGCUUUCAAUUCAGUGUUGUAUGGCCAUAACUAGCGGGUUUUAGGUGAAUGGCUUUCUGGCUUCCCAAACUUUUUCAACCCUUCUCACAAAGAAUGGUGCUGCUGAUGCGUGUGUAUAGGAUGUGGCCUAUAGGAAGUAGGUCAGUUGUUUCUUCUUCCUUGAACCGCCUUCUCCAUACAACUCAUUCCACUGCUUCAGCUCAUUCAUUACUGCUCCCUCAGAAGCAAAACUAGAAGCAAC
rnacentral:lncRNA from 1 species